rnacentral:rRNA from 1 species
CAAAAAAUGCCCAGCCCCCUGAGUAGGGGGCAAGAACGCUAAGCCGCCCGGUGGAUGGCUCGGCUCGGGGCGCCGACGAAGGGCGUGGCAAGCUGCGAUAAGCCCCGGCGAGGCGCAGGCAGCCGUCGAACCGGGGAUUCCCGAAUGGGACCUCCCGCGGCUUUUGCCGCACUCCCGGCAGGGAGGGGGAACGCGGGGAAUUGAAACAUCUUAGUACCCGCAGGAAAAGAAAGCAAAAGCGAUGCCGUGAGUAGGGGCGACCGAAAACGGCAGAGGGCAAACUGAACCCCGGGCCGAAAGGUCCGGGGGAUGUGGGGUUGCAGGGCCCCCGUAUGAGACCCUCGCGGGCGAAGCCGAAGUCCGCUGGAACGCGGCGCCGGAGAGGGUGAUAGCCCCGUAGGCGUAAGCCCGCAGGGUCUCGGGGUGUCCCUGAGUACCGUCGGUUGGAUAUCCGGCGGGAAGCUGGGAGGCAUCGGCUCCCAACCCUAAAUACGUCCCGAGACCGAUAGCGAACUAGUACCGUGAGGGAAAGCUGAAAAGCACCCCGGGAGGGGGGUGAAAAGAGCCUGAAACCGGGCGGCGAUAGGAGGGUGCGGCCCGAAAGGAGUGAGCCUCCCCGAAGGAAACCGCGGCGACGCGGGAGUACGAGGGGAGGGGACCGGGGUUGCACCGUCCGUCUUGAAACACGGGGCAGGGAGUUCGCGGCCGUGGCGAGGUUAAGGGGGUUAAGCCCCGUAGCCGCAGGGAAACCGACAUGCCCGCAGCCCCUUUAUGGGGCGAGGGGCGGGGUGUGAAAGCGCCCGGAGUCACGGCCGCGAGACCCGAAACCGGUCGAUCUAGCCCGGGGCAGGGUGAAGUCCCUCAACCGAGGGAUGGAGGCCCGCUAGGGGUGCUGAUGUGCAAUUCGCUCCCGUGACCCCGGGCUAGGGGUGAAAGGCCAAUCGAGGCCGGAGAUAGCUGGUUCCCGCCGAAUCAUCCCGCAGGAUGGCCUCCCCGGAGGUAGGCGGUGGGGUAGAGCACUGAUUGGAGGUGCAGGGGGCGAAAGCCCCCGGCCUCCUGUCAAACUCCGAACCCACCGCCGCCGUAGAUGGGGGGAGUAGGGUGGCGGUGUAAGCCGUCCACCGAGAGGGGAACAACCCAGACCGGGGUUAAGGCCCCAAAGUGCCGGCUAAGUGUUACUCCAAAGGGUGUCCCGGGCCUUAGACAGCGGGGAGGUAGGCUUAGAAGCAGCCAUCCUUUAAAGAGUGCGUAACAGCUCACCCGUCGAGGUCCGGGGCCCCGAAAAUGGACGGGGCUUAAGCCGGCCGCCGAGACCCCGGCGCACGGACCGAGUGGUCCGUGAUCGGGUAGGCGGGCGUGCCGGUGGCGUAGAAGCCGGGCCGUAAGGUCCGGUGGAGCCGCCGGUAUCGCGGAUCCUGCCGGGAGUAGCAGCGUAGUCGGGUGAGAAUCCCGACCGCCGGAGGGGCCAGGGUUCCACGGCAAUGGUCGUCAGCCGUGGGUUAGUCGGUCCUAACCCGGCCCGUAACUCGGCGCCGGGGAAAGGGAAACGGGUUUAUAUUCCCGUACCGCGGGGGUAGGUGCGGCAACGCAAGCCCGGAGGGUGACGCCUCGGGGUAGGCGGACCGGCCGACGAGGCCGGCUAAGCGUAUAAGCCCGGGGAGUGCCGUAAUGGCGAGAACCGGGUGAAAGCGCGAAUGGCCCCCCGUUAGGGGGGUUCCGCCGAUCCCUGGGGCCCGUGAAAAGCCCUCCGGGAAUUCCGAUCCCCCGCGACCGUACCGAGAACCGACACAGGUGCCCCUGGGUGAGAAGCCUAAGGCGUGUCGGGGGAAACCCGGCCGAGGGAACUCGGCAAACUGGCCCCGUAACUUCGGGAGAAGGGGUGCCUGCGGGUGCGUAACCCGCAGGUCGCAGUGACUAGGGGGGCCCGACUGUUUAAUAAAAACACAGGUCCCAGCUAGCCCGAAAGGGUUUGUACUGGGGCCGACGCCUGCCCAGUGCCGGUAUGUGAAGCCCGGGUACAACCGGGUGAAGCACCGGUAAACGGCGGGGGUAACUAUAACCCUCUUAAGGUAGCGAAAUUCCUUGUCGGUUAAAUGCCGACCUGCAUGAAUGGCGUAACGAGGUCCCCGCUGUCCCCGGCCGGGGCCCGGCGAAACCUCUGCCUGGCGCAUAUGCCAGGGACCCCCGGUGGGAAGCGAAGACCCCAUGGAGCUUUACUGCAGCCUGCCGUUGCCAUACGGCGGGGGGUGCGCAGCGUAGGCGGGAGGCGUCGAAGCCCGGUCUCCGGGCCGGGUGGAGCCGUCCAUGAGACACCGCCCACCUCCCGCCGUAUGGCUAACCCCCGAAAGGGGGGACAGCGGUAGGUGGGCAGUUUGGCUGGGGCGGCACGCCUCCGAAAAGGUAUCGGAGGCGCCCUAAGGUCGGCUCAGGCGGGUCAGGAAUCCGCCGUAGAGUGCAAGGGCAAAAGCCGGCCUGACUGGACCCGUAACAGAGGCGGGUCCAGCCCCGAAAGGGUGGCCUAGCGAACCCCAGUGCCUCCCCGGUGGGGGCCUGGGAUGACAGAAAAGCUACCCUGGGGAUAACAGAGUCGUCUCGGGCGAGAGCCCAUAUCGACCCCGAGGCUUGCUACCUCGCUGUCGGCUCUUCCCAUCCUGGCCCUGCAGCAGGGGCCAAGGGUGGGGGUGUUCACCCAUUAAAGGGGAACGUGAGCUGGGUUUAGACCGUCGUGAGACAGGUCGGAUGCUAUCUACCGGGGGUGUUGGCCGCCUGAGGGGAAGGUGCCCCUAGUACGAGAGGAACAGGGUGCCGCGGCCUCUGGUCUACCGGUUGUCCUCCCGGGCAUCGCCGGGCAGCUACGCCGCAGCCGAUAAGGCCUGAAGGCAUCUAAGGCCGAAGCGGCCCCCGAAAAUAGGCGGCCGUUCCCUGGCGUUUGGGCCUGGGUGACCGGCCCGUUGCCAGGGACGAGGGCUCGGGCAGAAGACCCGGUCGAUGGGGCGGGGAUGUAAGCGGGAAGGGUCAACCGACCCGCUUAGUCUGCCGCUCCCAAUCGCCCGAGGUUCUUGCCC